rnacentral:misc_RNA from 1 species
UGGUUCUGGCAUCGAUGAAGAACGCAGCGAAAUGCGAUAAGUAAUGUGAAUUGCAGAAUUCAGUGAAUCAUCGAAUCUUUGAACGCACAUUGCGCCCUUUGGUAUUCCGAGGGGCAUGCCUGUUCGAGCGUCAUUUCAACCAUCAAGUUUUACAGCUUGGCCUUGAGCACUCGCCCGCUGAUGACGGGCGUGCUCGAAAACAUUUGGCAGCGGCGUUGGACCGUGAAGCGAUUAAGAACCUCGUUCCCGUUUCUAUCGGAUCCUACCGACGCUCGCCUCUAAACCCCCAACAUUCUUUGGUUGACCUCGGAUCAGGUAGGGAUACCCGCUGA